rnacentral:rRNA from 1 species
GAUGAACGCGGGCGGCGUGCCUAAUACAUGCAAGUAGAACGCUGAAGCUUGGUGCUUGCACCGAGCGGAAGAGUUGCGAACGGGUGAGUAACGCGUAGGUAACCUGCCUCUUAGCGGGGGAUAACUAUUGGAAACGAUAGCUAAUACCGCAUAAAAGUCGGCAUUGCAUGAUGUUGACUUGAAAGGUGCAACUGCAUCACUAAGAGAUGGACCUGCGUUGUAUUAGCUAGUUGGUGAGGUAACGGCUCACCAAGGCGACGAUACAUAGCCGACCUGAGAGGGUGAUCGGCCACACUGGGACUGAGACACGGCCCAGACUCCUACGGGAGGCAGCAGUAGGGAAUCUUCGGCAAUGGACGGAAGUCUGACCGAGCAACGCCGCGUGAGUGAAGAAGGUUUUCGGAUCGUAAAGCUCUGUUGUAAGAGAAGAACGAGUGUGAGAGUGGAAAGUUCACACUGUGACGGUAACUUACCAGAAAGGGACGGCUAACUACGUGCCAGCAGCCGCGGUAAUACGUAGGUCCCGAGCGUUGUCCGGAUUUAUUGGGCGUAAAGCGAGCGCAGGCGGUUUGAUAAGUCUGAAGUUAAAGGCUGUGGCUCAACCAUAGUUCGCUUUGGAAACUGUCAAACUUGAGUGCAGAAGGGGAGAGUGGAAUUCCAUGUGUAGCGGUGAAAUGCGUAGAUAUAUGGAGGAACACCGGUGGCGAAAGCGGCUCUCUGGUCUGUAACUGACGCUGAGGCUCGAAAGCGUGGGGAGCGAACAGGAUUAGAUACCCUGGUAAUUACACCCUCACAUAUAAGCGGAACUGAAAGCCUGGGUACGAAGAUCCAAUACAUCUAGAGCAG